CAGUUCCUUCGUCUUCGCCGCAUCUGCAGUGAAGACGAUGAUUUUCAGGCCAAAAGUCUGGAGAUGAGACACUUUUUUGUCCAGCGUGGUUAUCCUACCUCUCCAUUAGACACUGCCUUUUCGAAGGCCUCCCAAAUUCCCCAUUCUGACACCCUCACAGACCGUGUGUCUAAUGUCACAGGCAACAACAAAAUCCCCCUAGUAUUAAACUAUCAUCCUUUCAAUUUCAAAGUUAGAGAUGUCAUCAACAAGAAUUUCCAUAUUUUGAAAAACGACCCUGAAACAUCUUCCAUUUUCUCCG